UGCCUCAACCAUGCUUACUAGGGUGAUUGUGAAAUAUAACUUGGUCUAUCCCAUAGGCUUUGUGACUUUCUUCUUCCUGAGCCCUACCACAGAAAGCAUUGGGAUAUACCUCUGGGCCUCUUGCCUAGGGAAGAUUGUGACAUAUGCCUUGCCCAGCUCCCAGGUGAUAUGACUCUCCUGCUCACUCUCUACCUAUAGGUGGGAUUACGACAUAUCUUGGCCCAGUUCACAGCUGAUGUGAUCUAUUCUCCUGUCUUGGUUCCCUCCAUAGAAGACAUUAUGAUGUAUUUACAGGCCCUGCACCCAGUUUAUGUGAUUUCUGCCUGUGGCCUGCCCACAUUGGCUAUUUUGACAUAUUGCACAGUCCAACACCCAGGUGAUUUUACUCUUCUGCCUCGGCCCUUCCUACA